GAGGGACAGGCUUUUAAGUGAUUCUCUGACCAACUACAAAACAACAUGCGAAGGCUGGCUGACACAGAUAGAUACACUCUAAAGGAGGGAAGAUUGACUCCCCCACAGAGCUCGCAGGCUUUUCAAACUAGCAAGUUGUAGGUUAAUUGCCAGGGCAGUACAAUGCUCAGCUCCACAGAAAGCACCCUGACCUCAUUUAGCACUUUUGGGCUGUUACAAAUAUUUGAGCAAAACAGACAACCAGCUCCUUUUUGCUUGCUCCUUGUGAAGUCAGCAGAUUUGUUUGUAAUUUUGUUCCUUCCCUCUCAAUGAAUUAUAUGAUGCAUGAGGUUGUUUAA
rnacentral:lncRNA from 1 species